rnacentral:lncRNA from 1 species
AUGGAUGGAUGGAUGGAUGGAUGGAUGGAUGGAUGGGAUAAUGUUAAUGUGCCACGUUUAAGUCUGCAUAUCAACUGAACCAUCAAACCUCCCUCACCUCCUAUCUCCUCUGUUCCCCUUGUCCACACAUCAAUUCCUUCAUCUCUACCUCCCAAAAUAUCUACAACCCUAAAAUCCUCCUCUCUCCUUAUGAUCGCUUGA